rnacentral:rRNA from 1 species
CCUACGGGAGGCAGCAGUGAGGAAUAUUGGUCAAUGGGCGCGAGCCUGAACCAGCCAAGUAGCGUGAAGGAUGACUGCCCUACGGGUUGUAAACUUCUUUUAUAAAGGAAUAAAGCGAGCCACGUGUGCCCUUUUGUAUGUACCUUGUGAAUAAGGAUCGGCUAACUCCGUGCCAGCAGCCGCGGUAAUACGGAGGAUCCGAGCGUUAUCCGGAUUUAUUGGGUUUAAAGGGAUCGUAGGUGGGUUGUUAAGUCAGGUGUGAAAUUUUGCGGCCCAACCGCAAGAUUGAAGUUGAUACUGGCAGUCUUGAGUACACUAGAGGGAGGCGGAAUGCGUGGGGUAGCGGUGAAAUGCAUAGAUAUCACGAAGAACUCCGAUUGCGAAGGCAGCUUAC